rnacentral:lncRNA from 1 species
UGAUGAGAACAUCAAGGACAUCAUAAAAGGGCAGAUUUUUUAACUGCACAUCAGGAUGGACAGGAGGAAUUGGGGGAGAUGGCUGCUGCAUCUCAAAUGUGGGCUUAGUAUCUUGAAGCAGCACAGAACCAACAGGAGAGGAUGGUGAGUGAGGUGUAACUGAAGUGGAAGGCAACGAGUGGAUUCCAGCCACGGCCAAGUCAGGUUCUACAGGUGAU